rnacentral:rRNA from 1 species
GAUAAACGCUGGCGGCGCACAUAAGACAUGCAAGUCGAACGAACUUAACCAUUAGUUUACUAUUGGUAGCGGUUAGUGGCGGACUGGUGAGUAACACGUAAGCAACCUGCCUAUCAGAGGGGAACAACAGUUAGAAAUGACUGCUAAUACCGCAUAAGACCACAGCACCGCAUGGUGCAGGGGCAAAAACUCCGGUGGUAUGAGAUGGACCCGCGUCUGAUUAGGUAGUUGGUGGGGUAACGGCCUACCAAGCCGACGAUCAGUAGCCGACCUGAGAGGGUGACCGGCCACAUUGGGACUGAGACACGGCCCAA